UACCGCAUGAGUUCGUGCUACAUGUUGGAAUUGCACGCGAAAUGAUAGCGAAUCGUUUUUCAGUACACAUGCCACAACACACUAUCGGUAUUCGUUUUCCUUCAUCUAACUGCAAGUGCUCAGUAACUCACGCACGUCCUUCAACGCACACAUCAUGAAACAUCUGGUGAAUGAGAUUGCUGAGCAAAACACUCACCAAACGGAAUAGAAUGGAUGA